ensembl:lncRNA
CUCUGCCAGUGGUCCCUCUGAUGCUGAGGCUUCCUGCAUACGUGCACCCAGCACUGGGUCUGGUCGCUGCUCACCACGGUGCGUUGGGGAGGGAGUGACGCUGGCCCUGCAGGCUCCUGCCAAGUAGAAGAGACUGAGCUUCAUGCAGAAUGGGAAUUCAUCUCCAAGUUUGAAGAUACUAAGACAAUGGAGCGAUUCUGGACAGGAAGCAGCACCAUCAGAUGACAUGACUGCCUAUGAAGAAAAUCCCAAAGAAUCAACAAAACAUCACUGGAACUAAUGAGCAGUUAUAGCAAGAUCAAUAUAGAAGAGCCAAUCAUUUUCUUAUAUACCAUCAACGAACAAAUGGAAUUGGAAAUUUAAAACAUAAUGCCAUUUAAAGUGAAGUGAAAAGUGAAAGUGAAAGUCACUCAGUCAUGUCCAACUCUUGGCGACCCCAUG